rnacentral:rRNA from 1 species
AUGGCUCAGAUUGAACGCUGGCGGCGUGCUAACACAUGCAAGUCGCGCGUGAAAGGACUUCGGUCCGAGUAAAGCGGCGCACGGGUGAGUAACGCGUGGAUGAUCUACCCAUGAGUUAGGAAUAACGGCUGGAAACGGUCGCUAAUACCAAAUACGCUCCGAUUUCAACUUCGGGGGAAAGGUGGCCUCUGCUUGCAAGCUACUGCUCAUGGAUGAGUCCGCGUCCCAUUAGCUAGUUGGUGGGGUAACGGCCCACCAAGGCGACGAUGGGUAGCCGGUCUGAGAGGAUGACCGGCCACACUGGGACUGGAACACGGCCCAGACUCCUACGGGAGGCAGCAGUGGGGAAUAUUGCGCAAUGGGCGAAAGCCUGACGCAGCGACGCCGCGUGAGGGAUGAAGGUCCUCGGAUCGUAAACCUCUGUCAGGAGGGAAGAACCGCCACGGUGCUAAUCAGCCGUGGUCUGACGGUACCUCCAAAGGAAGCACCGGCUAACUCCGUGCCAGCCGCAGC